AGAGUUUGAUCCUGGCUCAGAUUGAACGCUGGCGGCAGGCCUAACACAUGCAAGUCGAGCGGUAGCACAGAGAGCUUGCUCUCGGGUGACGAGCGGCGGACGGGUGAGUAAUGUCUGGGAAACUGCCUGAUGGAGGGGGAUAACUACUGGAAACGGUAGCUAAUACCGCAUAAUGUCGCAAGACCAAAGUGGGGGACCUUCGGGCCUCAUGCCAUCAGAUGUGCCCAGAUGGGAUUAGCUAGUAGGUGGGGUAACGGCUCACCUAGGCGACGAUCCCUAGCUGGUCUGAGAGGAUGACCAGCCACACUGGAACUGAGACACGGUCCAGACUCCUACGGGAGGCAGCAGUGGGGAAUAUUGCACAAUGGGCGCAAGCCUGAUGCAGCCAUGCCGCGUGUGUGAAGAAGGCCUUCGGGUUGUAAAGCACUUUCAGCGGGGAGGAAGGCGAUAAGGUUAAUAACCUUGUCGAUUGACGUUACCCGCAGAAGAAGCACCGGCUAACUCCGUGCCAGCAGCCGCGGUAAUACGGAGGGUGCAAGCGUUAAUCGGAAUUACUGGGCGUAAAGCGCACGCAGGCGGUCUGUCAAGUCGGAUGUGAAAUCCCCGGGCUCAACCUGGGAACUGCAUUCGAAACUGGCAGGCUAGAGUCUUGUAGAGGGGGGUAGAAUUCCAGGUGUAGCGGUGAAAUGCGUAGAGAUCUGGAGGAAUACCGGUGGCGAAGGCGGCCCCCUGGACAAAGACUGACGCUCAGGUGCGAAAGCGUGGGGAGCAAACAGGAUUAGAUACCCUGGUAGUCCACGCCGUAAACGAUGUCGAUUUGGAGGUUGUGCCCUUGAGGCGUGGCUUCCGGAGCUAACGCGUUAAAUCGACCGCCUGGGGAGUACGGCCGCAAGGUUAAAACUCAAAUGAAUUGACGGGGGCCCGCACAAGCGGUGGAGCAUGUGGUUUAAUUCGAUGCAACGCGAAGAACCUUACCUGGUCUUGACAUCCACAGAACUUUCCAGAGAUGGAUUGGUGCCUUCGGGAACUGUGAGACAGGUGCUGCAUGGCUGUCGUCAGCUCGUGUUGUGAAAUGUUGGGUUAAGUCCCGCAACGAGCGCAACCCUUAUCCUUUGUUGCCAGCGGUUAGGCCGGGAACUCAAAGGAGACUGCCAGUGAUAAACUGGAGGAAGGUGGGGAUGACGUCAAGUCAUCAUGGCCCUUACGACCAGGGCUACACACGUGCUACAAUGGCGUAAACAAAGGGAAGCAAGAGUGCGAGCUUGAGCAAAUCCCAAAAAUAACGUCCCAGUUCGGACUGCAGUCUGCAACUCGACUGCACGAAGCUGAAUCGCUAGUAAUCGCAGAUCAGAAUGCUGCGGUGAAUACGUUCCCGGGUCUUGCACACACCGCCCGUCA
rnacentral:rRNA from 1 species